UGGGGAGUAUUGGACAAUGCGGGAAACCGUGAUCCAGCAAUGCCGCGUGAGUGAUGAAGGCCUUAGGGUUGUAAAGCUCUUUUACCAGGGAUGAUAAUGACAGUACCUGGAGAAUAAGCUCCGGCUAACUCCGUGCCAGCAGCCGCGGUAAUACGGAGGGAGCUAGCGUUGUUCGGAAUUACUGGGCGUAAAGCGCGCGUAGGCGGCUAUCCAAGUCAGGGGUGAAAUCCCGGGGCUCAACCCCGGAACUGCCCUUGAAACUAGGUAGCUAGAAUACUGGAGAGUUGAGUUGAAUUCCGAGUGUAGAGGUGAACUUCGUAGAUAUUCGUAAGAACACCAGUGGCGAAGGCGACUCACUGGACAGUUAUUGACGCUGAGGUGCGAAAGCGUGGGGAUCAAACAGGAUUAGAUACCCGCGUAGUCC
rnacentral:rRNA from 1 species